UACGUAAGUAGAAGGCUUUGGGGUUUACCCCAAGGUAAAAGGAGACUGAAGCCUGAAUCAGCAAGCUGCGCUGGCGAUUUAUACUAGACGAAGCCAUUGCAACGUGACAAUGUGAGAAAGUCAACAAAUAUAGAAGAGGAGAAAAGGCUGAAAGAACGAAUAAGAAAUGAAGGAGCGUGAAAGUAAGUUUGAACCGAAGAGAUGAGCUUCUCUUGAUGUUGGUGUGGAUUACGUCGACAAUGCUGAAGAAUCUGAUCAGUGUCCUGGUGUUAGUCCUGGACUCCAGUACGUAGCAUUCGCAGAUUGUUGUUGGCUGCUUUGUAUAAAAUGGAAAUUCCAUGAGGUCACAAUUCAAACGUCAGAAGGCACUAUGAGACAUUAUAUAGUAUCUCAAGUAAA